rnacentral:rRNA from 1 species
AUUGAACGCUGGCGGCAGGCCUAACACAUGCAAGUCGAACGAGUGGCGGACGGGUGAGUAAUGUCUGGGAACCUGCCUGAUGGAGGGGGAUAACUACUGGAAACGGUAGCUAAUACCGCAUACCCUCAGAUGUGCUCAGAUGGGAUUAGCUUGUGGGUGGGGUAACCGCGCACAAAGGCGACGAUCCCUAGCUGGUCUGAGAGGAUGACCAGCCACACUGGAAAUGAGACACGGUCCAGAUUCCUACGAGAGGCAGCAGUGGGGAAUAUUGCACGAAGGGCGCAAGCCUGAUGCAGCCAUGCCGCGUGUAUGAAGAAGGCCUUCGGGUUGUAAAGUACUGUCAGCGGGGAGGCGUUACCCGCAGAAGAAGCACCGGCUAACUCCGUGCCAGCAGCCGCGGUAAUUC